UACGGAGGGUGCAAGCGUUAAUCGGAAUUACUGGGCGUAAAGCGUGCGCGGGCGGUUUGUUAAGUCCGCUGUGAAAUCCCCGAGCUCAACUUGGGAAUUGCAGUGGAUACUGGCAAGCUGGAGUAUGGUAGAGGAAGGUGGAAUUCCCGGUGUAGCAGUGAAAUGCGUAGAGAUCGGGAGGAACACCAGUGGCGAAGGCGGCCUUCUGGACCAAUACUGACGCUCAUGCACGAAAGCGUGGGGAGCAAACAGG
rnacentral:rRNA from 1 species